rnacentral:misc_RNA from 1 species
AAGUCGUAACAGGGUUUCCGUAGGUGAACCUGCGGAAGGAUCAUUACCUUUCUGGCUAUUUAAUAGCUUGUCGGGGGGCUAUAGUCUCUAUAGCCUCUGACUGAAUCCGUGUUUUUACGUACUACAUGUUUCCUCGGCGGGCUUGCUCGCCGGUUGGACAUCCUAAAACUCUUUGCAAUUGCAAUCAGCGUCUGAAUUAUUUAAUAAUUACAA